rnacentral:rRNA from 1 species
GACGAACGCUGGCGGCGUGCUUAACACAUGCAAGUCGAACGUGAUUUUUGUGGAAAUUCUUUCGGGAAUGGAAAUGAAAUGAAAGUGGCGAACGGGUGAGUAACACGUGAGCAACCUACCUUACACAGGGGGAUAGCCGUUGGAAACGACGAUUAAUACCGCAUGAGACCACAGAAUCGCAUGAUAUAGGGGUCAAAGAUUUAUCGGUGUAAGAAGGGCUCGCGUCUGAUUAGCUAGUUGGAAGGGUAAAGGCCUACCAAGGCGACGAUCAGUAGCCGGUCUGAGAGGAUGAACGGCCACAUUGGAACUGAGACACGGUCCAAACUCCUACGGGAGGCAGCAGUGGGGAAUAUUGCACAAUGGGGGGAACCCUGAUGCAGCGACGCCGCGUGAGCGAAGAAGGUUUUCGAAUCGUAAAGCUCUGUCCUAUGAGAAGAUAAUGACGGUAUCAUAGGAGGAAGCCCCGGCUAAAUACGUGCCAGCAGCCGCGGUAAUACGUAUGGGGCGAGCGUUGUCCGGAAUUAUUGGGCGUAAAGGGUACGUAGGCGGUUUUUUAAGUCAGGUGUGAAAGCGUGAGGCUUAACCUCAUUAAGCACUUGAAACUGGAAGACUUGAGUGAAGGAGAGGAAAGUGGAAUUCCUAGUGUAGCGGUGAAAUGCGUAGAUAUUAGGAGGAAUACCGGUGGCGAAGGCGACUUUCUGGACUUUUACUGACGCUCAGGUACGAAAGCGCGGGGAGCAAACAGG